GCCCUAGUAACGGCGAGUGAAGCGGCAACAGCUCAAAUUUGAAUCUGGCCUCGGCCCGAGUUGUAAUUUGUAGAGGAAGCUUUUGGCGCGGCACCUUCUGAGUCCCCUGGAACGGGGCGCCAUAGAGGGUGAGAGCCCCGUAUAGUCGGAUGCCCAGCCUUUGUAAAGCUCCUUCGACGAGUCGAGUAGUUUGGGAAUGCUGCUCAAAAUGGGAGGUAAAUUUCUUCUAAAGCUAAAUACCGGCCAGAGACCGAUAGCGCACAAGUAGAGUGAUCGAAAGAUGAAAAGCACUUUGAAAAGAGGGUUAAACAGCACGUGAAAUUGUUGAAAGGGAAGCGCUUGUGACCAGACUUGCGCCGGGCUGAUCAUCCGGUGUUCUCACCGGUGCACUCUGCCCGGCUCAGGCCAGCAUCGGUUCUCGCGGGGGGACAAAGGUCCUGGGAACGUAGCUCCUCCGGGAGUGUUAUAGCCCAGGGCGCAAUGCCCCCGCGGGGACCGAGGUUCGCGCUCUGCAAGGAUGCUGGCGUAAUGGUCACCAGCGACCCGUCUUGAAACACGGACCAAGGAGUCAAGGUUUUGCGCGAGUGUUUGGGUGUAAAACCCGCACGCGUAAUGAAAGUGAACGUGGGUGAGAGCUUCGGCGCAUCAUCGACCGAUCCUGAUGUAUUCGGAUGGAUUUGAGUAGGAGCGUUAAGCCUUGGACCCGAAAGAUGGUGAACUAUGCUUGGAUAGGGUGAAGCCAGAGGAAACUCUGGUGGAGGCUCGCAGCGGUUCUGACGUGCAAAUCGAUCGUCAAAUCUGAGCAUGGGGGCGAAAGACUAAUCGAACCAUCUAGUAGCUGGUUACCGCCCAAG
rnacentral:rRNA from 1 species